rnacentral:lncRNA from 1 species
AUGGGACAAGACGGGACAAGGGGGUGCGUGGCUGUCCCUUCCCCACACCCCUCGGCCGACCCCAGAGCCACGAGGCCCGCGCCACCAGCGGCUCCCGCAGGCGAGGGAAGGCCCGGGGCCGGCGGCUCCCGCUCCUCCCGCAGCGACAGCAGCCGCCAGGGCUCUGGGCUCGAGGUGCAGGCCUUACCCCUCUCUGACCUCCACCUCCCUGGCCCCGGCGCAGAGGCUGUUCCCGGCCUCUGUCGCCGAACUCUUAACAUCCUAAUUCUGGAAGCUGCUGACGUCCAGCCUUGCAUGAUUCUGAAUUUCCAUAUCCGUGUCCAGACCCACUUUUGUUUCUCGCCUGCAAACGGGGUAUCUUUCCCAAUCUUACUCCUCCUUGUUCUGCUCUUCCCACAGCACAGCCACGGCCCCCAGCGCACACACGGGACACACCCCCACGGGACACACGCACACACCCCCACAGGACACACGCACACAGGUCACACCCACGGGACACACCCCAAGGGACACACCCCCACACACCCACAGGACACACGCACACAGGUCACACCCACGGGACACACCCCCACGGGACACACACCCACACAGGUUCUGUUUUCCACUUUCUGCCGUGGCCGUCAGCUCGGUUCCCUCGCAGUCCACCUGCCACGUGGCCAUGGAUUUUCACCAAGCGCUGUCCCAGCAUCGAGGAUCACUUUGUCCCCACCUCUGCCCUCCGCUCGACGGCCAGCAGCCUGUCUGCUCAGCCGGCGCCACAUCAUUUUAGGUCUGGGGCUUAUUUGUUCCCACCGCAUCAUCUGGUCCCUCCCGACAAUGACAGAAAAGGCCCGUGGAAGCAGGUGCUGCCACAACAAAACACCCAAGUCAACAAAUACCCACAAAAGUCACCAUGAGGCCGGGCGCUACGCUGUGCGGCAUCAGGGGGGCUCAGCUUGCCUGGGCUCGGCGGGGCUCGCUGCCGUGUCAGGGUGUCGGCCGCUGUCUGUCCACCUUGGCCAGCUCCCCCGCACGGCUGUCUCACUCGCCAGAAGGGUGGCCUGGCUUGGGAAUGACAGGAACAAAAGUGAGUCCCAUGACCGAGACCAGGGGCGAGGGGAAAGCUCCCCAGCCGCCGAGGGAGGGCCCUGCAAGGUCCCACUGCAGGAGCGCGGGCACAGGGAAGGGUGA